rnacentral:lncRNA from 1 species
CGGAAACUCAAAUAUACAGGCACUUUGCCGGGCAACUUUGGAAAACGUGACCUCUGAAGUUUCAGACACAGGCGAAACAAACAUGGUAACGAAGGGAAUGAUACCAAACAAUCACUGAUACGACAUAAUUAGCAACGAAGACUUCCAGGUGAGCUUCCGUAUAGCAGAUUAUCAAGAAGCCAGUUGGUUUUGGCUCCAAAAGGAAAACAUCCCCUUGUACCUUGCAGGAGAAAACUGGCGUGACAGUAAGGCAAAUGGCUUCUCUUUGCUGCAGCUGGUAGCACAUUUGAUUGGUUCCAGUGUCUUGAGUACAGGAACCGGCUCUUGCGGUGCGGCAUUUUCAGCUAACACCAAUGGAGAUACCUUGGCAGACUCAGGAACACAUG